rnacentral:rRNA from 1 species
CCUACGGGUGGCUGCAGUGGGGGAUAUUGCACAAUGGGGGGAACCCUGAUGCAGCGACGCCGCGUGGGUGAAGAAGCGCCUCGGCGCGUAAAGCCCUGUCAGCAGGGAAGAAAAUGACGGUGCCUGAAGAAGAAGCCCCGGCUAACUACGUGCCAGCAGCCGCGGUAAUACGUAGGGGGCAGGCGUUGUCCGGAUUUACUGGGGGGAAGGGGGGCGCAGACGGCGAUGCAAGACAGGAGUGAAAGCCCGGGGCGCAACCCCGGGACUGCUCGUGGAACUGCGUGGCUGGAGUGCAGGAGGGGCAGGCGGAAUUCCUGGUGUAGCGGUGAAAUGCGUAGAUAUCAGGAGGAACACCGGUGGCGAAGGCGGCCUGCUGGACUGUAACUGACGCUGAGGCCCGAAAGCGUGGGGAGCAAACAGGAUUAGAUACCCGUGUAGUC